CUGACCUGCCGCCGAACUUGGUUAAGGGGUUUCUAAUGCCAAAAAAAAAAGGCUUAAAAAAAUACUAGGACUUAAUGUUCUUUGAGAUCAAAAAAAUUUGUGAAUGUUGAGAAAUCAUUUCAAACCUAAUAUUUUUUAUUGGGUUCUUUGCGAACUUCAAGAGAUGUUAUAAAUCUUGAUAUUCAUCCAAGACAUCAAGUAUCAGAUAUUGGGCAAUAAAUGUCAGUAAAAUAGACAUAUAUAUUAAAAAAUUAUAGGAAAAUAUUGCCCUAACCCCUGAAAAAGAUAAGAAUUUCCUAAUUACCCCUGUCCUAUUUUUUGUUUCAAGCGGCAUUAGAAUUCUUGACAAUCUUAUGUCCCGGCCCCUACUCACGUCCCUUCCCUUUUCUUACUUUUUUUGGGCUUCUUAUUUACCCGAGACAAUUUCCUUCAUUAUUUUCAAGUUCUUUCCCUCUCUUCCCCUUUUAUCCCUGUAAUGGACCCCUUCUGCCCUACUUUCUCUGCUGAUGCUCUCUCCUCCUCGUAUCCCUCUAGCCGACCAUGAGCUCUCUUCCCCCCCCCUUCCCUCCAACACACACACAUGGACACUUGCACAUACAUGCUCCCAGUUUUACCAUUUCUUUUCAUUUAUCUGUUUUUUUUAUGCAUUAACUAAAGAUGAUAUGCUCUAGUCAUGGGGUUUCCUAGAACAAGUUCUUGAAGUUUAUUGCUAGUGUCAAAUUUCCUUGUUUUCUUUAUCCUCCUAUGUUUUCCUUCAACAGUUAGAUCUGCCGCAUUUUCAAUGCUGGUCUUGGUUUCCUUCUGCGGUUAGUAAUUGUCCUGUGCUUUCCACCUGACCUCUCAUUCUCAACAUUAAGAGAGUUGAUGCCAACCUUAGAAUCAAUUCAUCACACUUUCAUAAUUUACUUCCUGGACUUUAUUGACUUUAAUAUUUCUUCCUAACAAAUAUGACGAUAUUGAAUACUGAUUAUGCAUCCUUUACUCCAAAAUAUCCAAGAUUUAAUGUGGUUGAGUUUCUGAAAAUAUUACGGUAUCAACUCGUGUUAUUUCCAUGAUAAGUCUAAAGUUAUGGAUGGAAUUAGUAUUUCCUUUUUUUACAGAUGAACAAUAUUAGCUGAAUACUGGCAUUCCUGAAAUAAUAAGGGUGACUUUUACUGUCCUGUAUUUUGUUAUAUUUAUUUUUAGUUGUGUUCGACUUAUUGUUGUUAUGUUUCAAAAUUUUCCUCCUUUGACUUACAUACCUAUUUUCCCAUUUAGCUUUUUGUGAUAUGGUCCAUACCUACUUCAGUAGUUGUGAUGCUCAGUUGUUGUUGGUGUCUAUAUUUAUGUAUAGACGCAUAUAUGCUAGAACCCCACACAUUGUGUUAAUGUUAAAGACAGUGUAACAUUAGGCCCAUGGUUAUAAAAUCCAUGGUUUAUAGUCUAGUUGAGCUUGGGUACAAUAAAUCAUGUUAUGGCCCCUAACUCCAUACUCGUAAGUGAUUUUAUGAUGCGUUACUGAUGUAAAUUUUAUGUCUUCACUGUUAUUCCUCCCCUUGAAAGUCCCAUCCAUACUGCAAUUUCCAGUUCUGCCAUCUUUGCUGCUCAAAGUGUAUCAUGAAAGUGUACCAUAUCCAUUUCUUCUCAUCUUUGUCCUUGACAUGUUGAACCAUACCUUUUGUUUGCUACACUUUGUGCUGCUACCACUUGUUGAAUGUUUUGAUCCUGACUGUCAUCAUGUGUAGCAUACUGUUCUUUAUCAUCACUGUUAGUACUUUUAUCAUCUCGACCUGUGGUAGCAUACUGUUGGAGCUUUCUUCUUGGACACUUUAUGGUUUUGAGACACUCUGGACCACAUGAAUUUCCCAAGUGUUAUGGGGUCAGUUGGGAGUAAAGGGAAAUUUAUCAAAAUAAGUUAUCGACUAUUUGAAGUUUAACGUUUUACCUAUAUCUUUUGAUUUAAUUUAAAAACACCCAUCAAAAUACACAUGACCAAGAGUUGGAAUAGUUGUAAUUUGAAAAAGAGUAAAUUGUUAAUUGUUGAAAGGUGUAUUUCUAUAAAUUCCUUGGUGCUAGUGAUUGGACUUUUUUGGAAUUAGGUGAAAACUGUGGGCUUAGGUGGAGAUUUUCAAGUUUCACUUUAAAUUUAGAAUACUGUCCUGCCUAUCCUCAACUUUGAAUUAGCCAAUCGGGCGACAGAUAUGGUCCAUUGGACUUUGAUCCAAUCCACUGGCUGGAUGUUCAGACUGCUCCCCAAUGGGAAGCCUACUUAAGUUCAGACAAUCAAACGCCUAGCAAGAAACCAGGAUGAUCAUCCUUGUCAGAACUCAGAACAUUCACCCAACUCAUCCGCGUCACUCAUUUCCAGCCUGCUUUUUCUUCCACUAUCUUCACCAUGCUUGCUAGCAUUUGUUCUCAGGGGCUGUAUCGAGAGCUUGAUCUUGACCCUUCAUUCAUCUCUUCUGUGGAUCUGAAACCUCGUAGCCAGAUAUCCUCUUCACGCCAGAUGUUCGGAAGGCCUUGUUUCUGGAGGAAGAUCAAAAGCUGUUUCUGCUGAUUUGUGUCUCAUCGCAUCAUUUAUUUCAAUACAAGUUUUCUCAAGAAAAAGGUCUCUCCACUAUUGGGUGGAUUUCUCUGACUGGUUAGGUCCUUAUCUGCUCCAUUAAUCUGCCUGCUGAAUUCACUAAAGAAAGAUUUCUACUGUCGUUUGCUUGGUGCCCAAAUAUGGAGCUCGUAAUCGGUGCUACAUAUGGAUUUUCCUCUAUCCUGUGUCAAUCAGGAGUUCUUUGGGAAGAUUUGCUUCCUUGGUGAUCUUUAUGCAGUCCAGCAAUGCGCCACAAACUUCAGGGUUGACACACAAGCCUUCAGAGGCAUUUUUCAGCCUAGUUACGAAUUUGCAUCAGCUCUGGAGAUUAAUGCAGGCUGCUUCUCUUCUUUGGUAGCACUAUCCAUUGAAAUCCGUCUCCUAAUUGCUGAUGCCAUCUUGCAAGUGAAUGUGUCAUCCGCCAGUACUGCAGAGACCUUGAAGACUAAUCUAAAUCGGGUGGGUAGUGAUUAUAGGGAUCUUCGGCAGCUUUUCCUCCAUCCCGCCGUGGAGCUUCAAAUUGCUUUUUUCAACAAUUCUUGGCCCUCUUUUCUAACUUGCCAAUGAUAUCGACUUUCCCUCGAGUAACACAAAUCCAUUCAGUUUGUGCUUUGGUUUGUUCUGUACAACAAAAGCUAUCCAGCACCCCUGGAAUUCGAGCUUUGCUUCUAUAUCUGUUCUUGGACAAGGAUUACAACUGGCUUGCCAGCCUUUGAUUUGGGCUGCGUGUCGCUUGAAGCCAUGAAGCUUAGAGGCAGUGAGGGAGAUCCAACAAUACCGGAGAAGGUUCUAUGUGCUUCAUUGGUUUUAAUGACUGUCAAAAUGCCUGAAAUUGUAAAUAUAGUCAAUCUUCCUUUCAAUUUGCACUGACUGAAUAUUUUUCUUGAGAAAUUUAUCAUGGACAUGACAGAUGAACUAUUUGACAUUUUACUCAUUUAUUUUGA